rnacentral:lncRNA from 1 species
UUUUUUAAGAAAAAAGAAGCAACAUCCAACAGCAAAAGGAAUGGCAUUUUUUCUGUCAAGAACACUACUAGAAGCCAUCAUCCAACAAUAGACAACCUUUGGCUCACUCUCUCUCAUUGGACAUGUUUUCCUCAAGAUUGCAGCAAUACAAGACAGCAGGAAUGAUGAUAUUGGCCUGUCAUGUGAAGUCUUACUAGGAGCAAAGAAAAACCAACAGCACUUCAUUUUUAGAUGAUGGCUCUCAGAUUCUAAGGACCCUUGCUUUGCAUUUCUUUUGCUGUCAAAAAAGCAUCAAAGAUACAACCCUGCCACAAGCCAGUCCAACCCUGCAUUGCAUCUUCAAAACCUGCUAACUGCUCUUACCCUGCUAUUUUGCAUCUCAUUUCUUCUGUCCAAAACAAAGGAGCACCAAAAACCCUGCCUUGCAUAAGCAAUAUGAAGGAGCAGAAUGGUUCAUAAUUUUCCUGUCAUGAGGAAUUAAGGACCAACCAACUUCACAUUUACACACACUUCACUUGUUGGCCAAGGUCAUUUUGCUGCCCAAACACAAAAGAACAAAAUCAAGCAUUGUAACCCUGCCAUGAAAAACCAGUAGCAAACCAACCAAAGGCCUAACUCACCUUGCUAUUUGCAUUGAAGAUUUUCUGUCAAAAAAUACAAAAGCACCAAAACCUUGCCUUGCCAACAAACAGCUAGCCACAACAUUCAACAAAAAGAAAUCAUUGAACACCACUCAUUCAUUCAAACUGACUUGAGCAUUCUCUUCAAAACAGUCAAAUUUCCAAAAAACUCACAAUGAACCACACCUGAGCCUGGCCUUGUAUUUUCACCCUCCCUCAAACACAUUUGAAAACACUGCUAGCACCACCUAACAUAACCAAGAAGCCUUGGUGCCCUCUCUCUCAAAAACACAUUUUUGCCUUUUU